UUGAAUCCUCAAGGAUGUUGCUGGUCUCUCAGGAGGCAUGUGCACUCCGCCUUUCAAUUCACCUGUGAACUUAUUGUAGGCCCGAGUGGUCUAUGCUUUUUUUUAAACACACCCUAAAAAGUCUAUAGAAUGUCUAAUAGUAGGCCUUAUGGUCAAAACUUAAUA
rnacentral:misc_RNA from 1 species